AUUGAACGCUGGCGGCAUGCCUUACACAUGCAAGUCGAACGGUAACAGGUCUUCGGAUGCUGACGAGUGGCGAACGGGUGAGUAAUACAUCGGAACGUGCCCGAGAGUGGGGGAUAACGAGGCGAAAGCUUUGCUAAUACCGCAUACGAUCUCAGGAUGAAAGCAGGGGACCGCAAGGCCUUGCGCCCACGGAGCGGCCGGUGGCAGAUUAGGUAGUUGGUGGGAUAAAAGCUUACCAAGCCGACGAUCUGUAGCUGGUCUGAGAGGACGACCAGCCACACUGGGACGGAGACACGGCCCAGACUCCUACGGGAGGCAGCAGUGGGGAAUUUUGGACAAUGGGCGCAAGCCUGAUCCAGCCAUGCCGCGUGCAGGAUGAAGGCCUUCGGGUUGUAAACUGCUUUUGUACGGAACGAAAAGACUCCUUCUAAUAAAGGGGGUCCAUGACGGUACCGUAAGAAUAAGCACCGGCUAACUACGUGCCAGCCGCCGCCGUAACAC
rnacentral:rRNA from 1 species